GAGGGUAUAGGUCAGCGGUAAAGCCCAUGCCUAGCAUGCACGAGGUCCUGAGUUCAAUCCCCAGUACCUCCA
rfam:Camelus ferus unplaced genomic scaffold scaffold1783, whole genome shotgun sequence.